CAGUAGCCGCGGUAAUACGUAGGUGGCAAGCGUUGUCCGGAAUUAUUGGGCGUAAAGGGCUCGCAGGCGGUUUCUUAAGUCUGAUGUGAAAGCCCCCGGCUCAACCGGGGAGGGUCAUUGGAAACUGGGAAACUUGAAUGCAGAAGAGGAGAGUGGAAUUCCACGUGUAGCGGUGAAAUGCGUAGAGAUGUGGAGGAACACCAGUGGCGAAGGCGACUCUCUGGUCUGUAACUGACGCUGAGGAGCGAAAGCGUGGGGAGCGAACAGGAUUAGAUACCCCAGUAGUCCCUGUCUCUUAUAC
rnacentral:rRNA from 1 species